rfam:Roseomonas rosea strain DSM 14916 genome assembly, contig: EJ99DRAFT_scaffold00003.3
UCCUCGAUCUGCUGCGGGCAGAUGAAGUGGAUGUGGACGUCGAUCCCGCCGGCGGUGAGGAUGCGCCCCUCGCAGGCGAUGAUCUCCGUGCCCGGCCCGAUGAUGAUAUCCACGCCGGGCUGGGUGUCGGGGUUGCCCGCCUUGCCGAUGGCCGCGAUGCGGCCGUCGCGCAAGCCGAUAUCGGCCUUGUAGAUGCCGGUGUGGUCGAGGAUCAGCGCGUUGGUGAUCACCGUAUCCAUCGCGCCGCCGUCGCGCCCGACCUGGGACUGGCCCAUGCCGUCGCGGA